CCUACGGGUGGCAGCAGUCGAGAAUCAUUCACAAUGGGGGAAACCCUGAUGGUGCGACGCCGCGUGGGGGAAUGAAGGUCUUCGGAUUGUAAACCCCUGUCAUGUGGGAGCAAAUUAAAAAGAUAGUACCACAAGAGGAAGAGACGGCUAACUCUGUGCCAGCAGCCGCGGUAAUACAGAGGUCUCAAGUGUUGUUCGGAAUCACGGGGCGUAAAGGGUGCGUAGGCUGUUUAGUAAGUCGGGUGUGAAAGGCGCGGGCUCAACCCGCGGACGGCACAUGAUACUGGGAGACUAGAGUAAAGGAGGGGGAACUGGAAUUCUUGGUGGAGCAGUGAAAUGCGUAGAUAUCGAGAGGAACACUCGUGGCGAAGGCGGGUUCCUGGACAUUAACUGACGCUGAGGCACGAAGGCCAGGGGAGCGAAAGGGAUUAGAUACCCCAGUAGUC
rnacentral:rRNA from 1 species